rnacentral:rRNA from 1 species
UGGGUAACCUGCCCAAGAGAUCGGGAUAACACCUGGAAACAGAUGCUAAUACCGGAUAAUAACAGGUGAUGCCUAUCAACUGUUUAAAAGAUGGUUCUGCUAUCACUCUUGGAUGGACCUGCGGUGCAUUAGCUAGUUGGUAGGGUAACGGCCUACCAAGGCGAUGAUGCAUAGCCGAGUUGAGAGACUGAUCGGCCACAUUGGGACUGAGACACGGCCCAAACUCCUACGGGAGGCAGCAGUC